AGUAUAAACAGUAUACUAUCGAGAAUUAUAAUUUAUACUAAGCCGGAAUAACGUAAACAUAUUUUUGUUUGCAUUCUGUCAUUUGCAAAAUUACAUCAAAUCGCGUGUGCAACAAUGUCCGUUUGAAUAUUUUCCGGUAAACUUCCCAGACAAAAUUCGGCCAAAAAUACCAGUCGUUCCAUUGCAAGUGUUCCGCGAACUUCCAUUAUACAAAUCCAGAGUUUUUACGGACCGCAAUCUAACUAAAAUGACCUAAAUUGGACUCUAUUAGCGUCCGACCGGAGCCACACGACAAGGCAAUUGGCAGUGGAAGUGGAUAUUGCCGAGAACGCCUUUCAAUUUGAUUUGGACUGCUACAAACGAAGCGACUAGUGCACGCGGUUUUCAUCCGUUUGGUGGCCUGUUUGGGCAAUUUCCAGAACAGAACUGCAGCCCUUUCUCAAGGACGACUUCCGCCUACAACCCGUAAAAAGUGUGUACACCUGAUCCCGGAACUACUCACACAGCUUCGGUGCAAGAAAACGCUCUAACACCUGCCAGCUACGACAAGGGAACAGCUACCCCUAUUCCCAGUGGAUUAUUUGAUAGGAAAAACUCGGCCUCUUAUUUUGAUCGUCGAAUCCAAUGCGAAUGAAUGAAUGAAGAUUAGCUACACUUUCUACAUGGACCAUGGAGAAUGGAGGAGGAUUACUGAGCACCGGAAGACGAGCAACACUAAUCCACUUCUAUGUUCAGCGUGUCAACUAUGUCCCGCUUCGUACCUUCAGGUGAACGACCAUCACGAAUGUGACGAAAUGUCGAAUUAUUUAUAAAUGAAGAAUAAAACAUGUAUAUUUAUCUUA